UUUGGAUACGAGUUCUUCUGGCUUCAUUCUUACAAGCCUUGACAAAGGAAGGUCUUCCCUAAGAACACGAUGGAAAAGUCCCUAGAGAGAGAGGAGUGAUUCGAGGUGCUGCAAAGAUUCAACAAGAGACAUGAUCCAGUAACUGACCAUGCCAGCUGUGAUGGGUGGAAGAGUUGUGAGGAAUUUACAGCAGCCACGGAGUGACAACACACUAUGGGCUUCCCUGCUUAUGCAUACAAAGCAGGGAAGGAUAGCCGCUUUUCAGGACGGUUUUCUUCCUCUGAAUCAUCCAAGAUGGCACCAAUUGCAAAUGGGACAUUGAAUUGGCAAGCCCUGGUGCUCAAGCUCUAUGGAAACUUAUCCUGGCAAGGUCUAGCAUGCCUUCCUUGGACAUCUAGAAUCUCAUCAGUUGGCCUGUGGGACAAGAAAAAUCUUCACACUCUCCCAAACCCAACCCAGCGAAGAAAGAGUUGACGAGGUAGACACAUGACAGCCCCAAAUGACUGAAUUACACCUGCUACCUGAGCUGGGUCACUGCUCUCACACAAGAGAUUUUCUUCAGUGACUGUGAUGCACUGUGCUAGACUGUAUUGUUGGAGACAUGUCAUGGACCACUUGAAUGAAGCCUGCAGACCAGUUUGGGAACCUCUGCUCUAAAGAGCUGGUCUCUUCUGUGCGGAGAGAGGUUUGAUACCGGCCUGUGUAACCAGCAGAACCUUAAUCACUAAGUAUUGCAAUAAUACAGUCAUCAUAACACAGGAGUAGAGAAAUAGUCAAGUCUACUUAGUCUACUUGACUAAGAAGGGUAACGUUAAGUUCUGACACAGUGACAACCUCUACGAGCAAGGCCAGUGGGGAUGCGGAAUCUACUUUUUGCCUUCUGGGAGGAUUCCUCCCACGUAAAGACUACUCAGGAACAACAGUGGCUUCAAGUUACAAGAAAAGAGAUUCUG